rnacentral:rRNA from 1 species
AGCAGCCGCGGUAAUUCCAGCUCCAAUAGCGUAUAUUAAAGUUGUUGCAGUUAAAAGCUCGUAGUUGAAUUUCGGGAUCAAAUUGUUGGUCGUGCUUCGGUACGCACUGGCAUUAUUGGUUCCUACCUUCUGAAGAACCGCGAUGUCAUUAAUUUGGUGUCGUGGGGAAUCAGGACUGUUACUUUGAAAAAUUAGAGUGUUUAAAGCAGGCUUACGCUUGAAUACAUUAGCAUGGAAUAAUGAAAUAGGACGUUUGAUUCUAUUUUGUUGGUUUCUAGGAUCGACGUAAUGAUUAAUAGGGAUAGUUGGGGGCAUUAGUAUUCAAUUGUCAGAGGUGAAAUUCUUGGAUUUAUUGAAGACUAACUACUGCGAAAGCAUUUGCCAAGGAUGUUUUCAUUAAUCAAGAACGAAAGUUAGGGGAUCGAAGACGAUCAGAUACCGUCGUAGUCUUAACCAUAAACUAUGCCGACUAGGGAUCGGAUGAUGUUAAUUUUUAAUGACUCAUUCGGCGCCUUACGGG